rnacentral:rRNA from 1 species
UGGUGGAGUGAUUUGUCUGGUUAAUUCCGUUAACGAACGAGACCCCUGCCUGCUAAAUAGUUCGCCGAGUGAAUUUCACUGGGUAGAGCUUCUUAGAGGGACGUGCGUUCUAUUAGACGCAGGAAGAUAGGGGCAAUAACA